GAUGAACGCUGGCGGCGUGCCUAAUACAUGCAAGUCGAGCGAACAGACGAGGAGCUUGCUCCUCUGACGUUAGCGGCGGACGGGUGAGUAACACGUGGAUAACCUACCUAUAAGACUGGGAUAACUUCGGGAAACCGGAGCUAAUACCGGAUAAUAUAUUGAACCGCAUGGUUCAAUAGUGAAAGACGGUUUUGCUGUCACUUAUAGAUGGAUCCGCGCCGCAUUAGCUAGUUGGUAAGGUAACGGCUUACCAAGGCAACGAUGCGUAGCCGACCUGAGAGGGUGAUCGGCCACACUGGAACUGAGACACGGUCCAGACUCCUACGGGAGGCAGCAGUAGGGAAUCUUCCGCAAAGGGCGAAAGCUUGACGGAGCAACGCCGCGUGAGUGAUGAAGGUCUUCGGAUCGUAAAACUCUGAUAUUAGGGAAGAACAAAUGUGUAAGUAACUAUGCACGUCUUGACGGUACCUAAUCAGAAAGCCACGGCUAACUACGUG
rnacentral:rRNA from 1 species